UACGUAGGGUGCGAGCGUUUGUCCGGAAUUAUUGGGCGUAAAGGGCUCGUAGGCGGUUUGUCGCGUCGGGAGUGAAAUCCACUGGCUUAACUGGUCGGCUUGGCUUUCGAUACGGGCAGACUGGAGGUAUGGCAGGGGAGAACGGAAUUCCAGGUGUAGCGGUGAAAUGCGUAGAUAUCUGGAGGAACACCGGUGGCGAAGGCGGCAUCCUGGACCAACACGUGACACUGAUGAGCGAAAGCCAGGGGAGCAAACGGGAGUUAGAA
rnacentral:rRNA from 1 species